GAUGAACGCUGGCGGCGUGCUUAACACAUGCAAGUCGAACGGAAAGGCCGAAGCUUGCUUCGGUACUCGAGUGGCGAACGGGUGAGUAACACGUGGGUGAUCUGCCCUGUACUUCGGGAUAAGCUUGGGAAACUGGGUCUAAUACCGGAUAUGACAAUCUCUUGGAUGGGGUUGUGGAAAGCUUUUGCGGUAUGGGAUAAGCUCGCGGCCUAUCAGCUUGUUGGUGGGGUAAUGGCCUACCAAGGCGUCGACGGGUAGCCGGCCUGAGAGGGUGUACGGCCACAUUGGGACUGAGAUACGGCCCAGACUCCUACGGGAGGCAGCAGUGGGGAAUAUUGCACAAUGGGCGCAAGCCUGAUGCAGCGACGCCGCGUGGGGGAUGACGGCCUUCGGGUUGUAAACUCCUUUCGCAACCGACGAAGCUUUUGUGACGGUAGGUUGAGAAGAAGCACCGGCUAACUACGUG
rnacentral:rRNA from 1 species